rnacentral:RNase_P_RNA from 2 species
GGCGCUACGUACCUUUCACUCGUGGGAAGGUCUGCGGACGCACCGAGUACAUAGAGGCGCGAAACGCGCACCUUGGUUAACCUAGCUAAGGCCCAUCGACCAGAAACGCACCGUGAUGCGGAGCGCCCCUGCCAACGACAGCAGACCUUCGGGCCUGCCGAGGCACAGUGCCUGCGCAACGCGGCUGGAACGACGUGGGAGACGGUGCUACACCCUCUGUCAGCUGAAUACGCGAGAACGGGCGCCCGAUCAGGCGGUGCCGCCCGUCCACUCAAUGCAGACUACACUGACGUC